UACGUAGGCAGCGAGCGUUGUUCGGAAUUACUGGGCGUAAAGCGCGCGCAGGCGGUUCUCCAAGUCAGUGGUGAAAGCCCGGAGCUCAACUCCGGAACUGCCAUUGAAACUGUUUAGCUUGAGGACGAGAGAGGUGAGUGGAAUUCCCAGUGUAGAGGUGAAAUUCGUAGAUAUUGGGAAGAACACCGGUGGCGAAGGCGGCUCACUGGCUCGUUUCUGACGCUCAGGCGCGACAGCGUGGGGAUCAAACAGG
rnacentral:rRNA from 1 species